rnacentral:misc_RNA from 1 species
GAAAUGCGAUAAGUAGUGUGAAUUGCAGAAUUCAGUGAAUCAUCGAAUCUUUGAACGCACAUUGCGCCCUUUGGUAUUCCUUAGGGCGUGCCUGUUCGAGCGUCAUCUAAACCUUCAAGCCCUGCUUGGUGUUGGGUGCCUGUCCCGCCUCCGCGCGCGGACUCACCUCAAAUCCAUUGGCGGCCCCCGCGUCGGCCACGAGCGCAGCAGAAACGCGAACUCGUGAGCCCGUCCGGGCGGCUCCCAGAAGCUACACCCACCCAGUUUGACCUCGGAUCAGGUAGGGAUACCCGCUGAACUUAAGC